CAAGUCGAACGCGAAAGAGGGGGCAACUCCUCGAGUAGAGUGGCGAACGGGUGAGUAACGCGUGAGAAACCUGCCUUCAUCAGGGGGAUAACACUCCCAACGGGGUGCUAAUACCGCAUGUGACCACGGGAUCGCAUGGUUCCGAGGUAAAAGGUGGCCUCUAUUUAUAAGCUACCGGAUGAAGAUGGUCUCGCGUCCCAUUAGCUAGUUGGCGGGGUAACGGCCCACCAAGGCGACGAUGGGUAGCUGGUCUGAGAGGAUGGUCAGCCACACUGGGACUGAGAUACGGCCCAGACUCCUACGGGAGGCAGCAGUCGAGAGGCUUCGGCAAUGGGGGAAACCCUGACCGAGCGACGCCGCGUGGGGGAUGAAGGCCCUUGGGUUGUAAACCCCUUUUGUUCGGGAAGAAGUGCGAUCAGGUGAACAAUCUGGUCGUUUGACGGUACCGGACGAAUAAGCUCCGGCUAACUCCGUGCCAGCAGCCGCGGUGAUACGGGGGGAGCAAGCGUUGUUCGGAAUCACUGGGCGUAAAGGGCGUGUAGGCGGUCAGGUAAGUAAGACGUGAAAUGCCUCGGCUCACCCGAGGAGCGGCGUCUUAUACUGCUUGGCUUGAGUAUGGGAGAGGAUGUGGGAAUUCCUGGUGUAGCGGUGAAAUGCGUAGAUAUCAGGAGGAACACCGGUGGCGAAGGCGCACAUCUGGCCCAAUACUGACGCUGAGGCGCGAAAGCUAGGGGAGCAAACGGGAUUAGAUACCCCGGUAGUCCUAGCCGUAAACGGUGAUCACUAGGUGUUGGAGGCAUUGACCCCUCCAGUGCCGCAGCUAACGCAUUAAGUUGAUCCGCCUGGGGAGUACGGCGCAAGGUUGAAACUCAAGGAAUUGACGG
rnacentral:rRNA from 1 species